AGAUUGAACGCUGGCGGCAGGCCUAACACAUGCAAGUCGAGCGGUAGAGAGGUGCUUGCAUCUCUUGAGAGCGGCGGACGGGUGAGUAAUGCCUAGGAAUCUGCCUAGUGGUGGGGGAUAACGUUCGGAAACGGACGCUAAUACCGCAUACGUCCUACGGGAGAAAGCGGGGGACCUUCGGGCCUCGCGCCAUUAGAUGAGCCUAGGUCGGAUUAGCUAGUUGGUGAGGUAAUGGCUCACCAAGGCGACGAUCCGUAACUGGUCUGAGAGGAUGAUCAGUCACACUGGAACUGAGACACGGUCCAGACUCCUACGGGAGGCAGCAGUGGGGAAUAUUGGACAAUGGGCGAAAGCCUGAUCCAGCCAUGCCGCGUGUGUGAAGAAGGUCUUCGGAUUGUAAAGCAACUUUAAGUUGGAAGGAAGGUUGUAACCUAAUACGUUGCAACUUUGACGUUACCGACAGAAUAAGCACCGGCUAAACUUCGUGCCAG
rnacentral:rRNA from 1 species